rnacentral:rRNA from 1 species
GAUGAACGCUGGCGGCGUGCCUAAUACAUGCAAGUCGAGCGAGCAGACGAGGAGCUUGCUCCUCUGACGUUAGCGGCGGACGGGUGAGUAACACGUGGAUAACCUACCUAUAAGACUGGGAUAACUUCGGGAAACCGGAGCUAAUACCGGAUAAUAUAUUGAACCGCAUGGUUCAAUAGUGAAAGACGGUUUUGCUGUCACUUAUAGAUGGAUCCGCGCCGCAUUAGCUAGUUGGUAAGGUAACGGCUUACCAAGGCAACGAUGCGUGGCCGACCUGAGAGGGUGAUCGGCCACACUGGAACUGAGACACGGUCCAGACUCCUACGGGAGGCAGCAGUAGGGAAUCUUCCGCAAUGGGCGAAAGCCUGACGGAGCAACGCCGCGUGAGUGAUGAAGGUCUUCGGAUCGUAAAACUCUGUUAUUAGGGAAGAACAAAUGUGUAAGUAACUAUGCACGUCUUGACGGUACCUAAUCAGAAAGCCACGGCUAACUACGUG